rnacentral:rRNA from 1 species
AUUGAACGCUGGCGGCAUGCUUUACACAUGCAAGCCGAACGGCAGCGGGGACUUCGGUCCGCCGGCGAGUGGCGAACGGGUGAGUAAUGCAUCGGAACGUGCCUAUCAGUGGGGGAUAACGCUUCGAAAGGAGUGCUAAUACCGCAUAUUCUCUGAGGAGAAAAGCAGGGGACCUUAGGGCCUUGCGCUGAUAGAGCGGCCGAUGUCGGAUUAGCUAGUUGGUGAGGUAAAGGCUCACCAAGGCGACGAUCCGUAGCGGGUCUGAGAGGAUGAUCCGCCACACUGGGACAGAGACACGGCCCAGACUCCUACGGGAGGCAGCAGUGGGGAAUUUUGGACAAUGGGCGAAAGCCUGAUCCAGCCAUGCCGCGUGAGUGAAGAAGGCCUUCGGGUUGUAAAGCUCUUUUGUCCGGGAGGAAAUCCUGGCCUCUAAUACAGGUCGGGGAUGACAGUACUGGAAGAAUAAGCACCGGCUAACUACGUGCCAGCAGCCGCCGUAACAC